GAUGAAGAACGUAGCGAAAUGCGAUAAGUAAUGUGAAUUGCAGAAUUCAGUGAAUCAUCGAAUCUUUGAACGCACAUUGCGCCCGCCAGUAUUCUGGCGGGCAUGCCUGUUCGAGCGUCAUUUCAACCCUCAAGCCCAGCUUGGUGUUGGGGAUCGGCACAGGCGCCCUCGGGCGCCCGCCGUCGCCUAAAUCUAGUGGCGGUCCCGCUGCAGCCUCCUCUGCGUAGUAGUUUUCUCCUCGCAAGGGCAGCUCGGUGGCGACCUCGCCGUAAAACCCCCAACUUCUGAAAGGUUGACCUCGAAUCAGGUAGGAAUACCCGCUGAACUUAAGCAUAUCAAUAAGCGGAGGA
rnacentral:misc_RNA from 1 species